rnacentral:misc_RNA from 1 species
GUAUCACUUAUGGAAUUGACUUUCCUCAGGUGCCUGACAUUGGCCGCCAAUGGUUUUCUACUGCCCCUUUGGACAACAUGUUCUAUGCCGAGCAAAUAGCUCCAUCAAGAACCUUUUGCAUUUAUGAGGAGGUAGAGCAAAUGCGUAAUAUGGGACUCAUAAAAGGAGGCUCCAUAGAAAAUGCUUUAGUUUGCAGUGUCAGCAAA